AUACCAUGGUGAGGACAUCUCUUAAGUAACUCCUUAAAUCUUUCUCAUACAUCAUGGAAGCUUUCAUCUUUAAGUUGAUGGAAAGAUGUAAUCUCAUUUCUCAAUUU
rnacentral:snoRNA from 1 species